rnacentral:rRNA from 1 species
CAGCAGCCACGGGAAUACAGAGGGUGCGAGCGUUAAUCGGAUUUACUGGGCGUAAAGCGUGCGUAGGCGGCUUUUUAAGUCGGAUGUGAAAUCCCUGAGCUUAACUUAGGAAUUGCAUUCGAUACUGGGAAGCUAGAGUAUGGGAGAGGAUGGUAGAAUUCCAGGUGUAGCGGUGAAAUGCGUAGAGAUCUGGAGGAAUACCGAUGGCGAAGGCAGCCAUCUGGCCUAAUACUGACGCUGAGGUACGAAAGCAUGGGGAGCAAACAGGAUUAGAUACCCCUGUAGUCCAUGUCUCUUAUAA